GACUCAGUCCCUCUAUUCCUUAGUCCGUGGUGUAAACUCAAUUGUACUCAGUGACAAAUACGCAGGAGAAUGGGUUGGUAUUCCUUAAGAGACGUAUUGAGUUAACCUAAAAAGUCCAUUAAGUGCCUUGUACAAAAUAAAAUAACGCCUGUAUUGUGGUUUAUUACAAACUCAAGAUCUAAUAAGCGAUCUUAAUAAAGAAGGCCAGGAUCAGUAUUACAAACUCAAAAUCUAAUAAGCGAUCUCAAUAAAGAAGGCCAGGAUCAGAGGUGUUAAGGCCGGCGACUUCGGUCACUUGCCAACAGUAGUAGGAUUUGAGCAUUCUAAAUUGUUCAUUCCACGCGGUGCGCCACGCGGUGAGACGACAACAAAAAUACUGAGUACCUGAUAAACGGGAGGCAGAAGAAAGAAAAUAUCAAGAACACUCAUAAUGUAAAGAUUCUGCCACGCAUACGCGCGAAUCUGGCUCCACUUGUGACUUGUGUCGACACUGCGGAAAUAAAAGUUACAUUCGCCAUUGUACGUGAUUGUAGAUUGUUAGACGUUUGACUACUUAGUGAAAUCUUUGUGCAUUGUCUUCUGUAUCUUCAUAGUUAACAAGUCAAGAAAAAAAGAUAAAGUCAUUUCUUCUACAACAAUAAGCCCACUUCGUGAAUUAAUGGAUGAAAAUACUUCUAUACAAUCUCAUAAAUCACUUCAAUCAAUCACUAAGUCAACUUUAGAAAAAGAACCAUCCUCUAAUGAAGUAUUAGAAUCUAUAAGGAAUAUGUACGAAGUUAAUACAGCAGGUUAUUUCACGAUACCUUACAUUAAAGGAACUUCUGAUAAACUUACAAGUAAAAUGAAGAAACACAAUCUUAAUUUAG
rnacentral:lncRNA from 1 species